rnacentral:misc_RNA from 1 species
GAUGAAGAACGCAGUGAAAUGCGAUACGUAAUGUGAAUUGCAAAUUCAGUGAAUCAUCGAGUCUUUGAACGCACAUUGCGCCCCCUGGUAUUCCGGGGGGCAUGCCUGUCCGAGCGUCAUUGCUGCCCUCAAGCACGGCUUGUGUGUUGGGCCCCGUCCUCCGAUCCCGGGGGACGGGCCCGAAAGGCAGCGGCGGCACCGCGUCCGGUCCUCGAGCGUAUGGGGCUUUGUCACCCGCUCUGUAGGCCCGGCCGGCGCUUGCCGAUCAACCCAAAUUUCUAUCCAGGUUGACCUCGGAUCAGGUAGGGAUACCCGCUGAACUUAAGCAUAUCAAUAAGCGGAGGA